rnacentral:rRNA from 1 species
GAUGAACGCUGGCGGCGUGCCUAAUACAUGCAAGUCGAGCGAACAGACGAGGAGCUUGCUCCUCUGACGGUAGCGGCGGACGGGUGAGUAACACGUGGAUAACCUACCUAUAAGACUGGGAUAACUUCGGGAAACCGGAGCUAAUACCGGAUAAUAUAUUGAACCGCAUGGUUCAAUAGUGAAAGACGGUUUUGCUGUCACUUAUAGAUGGAUCCGCGCCGCAUUAGCUAGUUGGUAAGGUAACGGCUUACCAAGGCAACGAUGCGUAGCCGACCUGAGAGGAUGAUCGGCCACACUGGAACUGAGACACGGUCCAGACUCCUACGGGAGGCAGCAGUAGGGAAUAUUCCGCAAUGGGCGAAAGCCUGACGGAGCAACGCCGCGUGAGUGAUGAAGGUCUUCGGAUCGUAAAACUCUGUUAUUAGGGAAGAAAAAAUGUGUAAGUAACUAUGCACGUCUUGACGGUACCUAAUCAGAAAGCCCCGGCUAACUACGUG